rnacentral:rRNA from 1 species
GACGAACGCUGGCGGCGUGCUUAACACAUGCAAGUCGAACGGAAAGGCCCUGCUUUUGUGGGGUGCUCGAGUGGCGAACGGGUGAGUAACACGUGAGUAACCUGCCCUUGACUUUGGGAUAACUUCAGGAAACUGGGGCUAAUACCGGAUAGGAGCUCCUGCUGCAUGGUGGGGGUUGGAAAGUUUCGGCGGUUGGGGAUGGACUCGCGGCUUAUCAGCUUGUUGGUGGGGUAGUGGCUUACCAAGGCUUUGACGGGUAGCCGGCCUGAGAGGGUGACCGGCCACAUUGGGACUGAGAUACGGCCCAGAAUCCUACGGGAGGAAGCAGUGGGGAAUAUUGCACAAUGGGCGGAAGCCUGAUGCAGCAACGCCGCGUGCGGGAUGACGGCCUUCGGGUUGUAAACCGCUUUCGCCUGUGACGAAGCGUGAGUGACGGUAAUGGGUAAAGAAGCACCGGCUAACUACGUG